rnacentral:rRNA from 1 species
UCUAACCUACGGGAGGCAGCAGUAGGGAAUUUUCGUCAAUGGGCGCAAGCCUGAACGAGCAAUGCCGCGUGAACGAGGAAGGUCUUCGGAUCGUAAAGUUCUGUUGAAGGGGAAAAAGAGCGGAGAGAGGAAAUGGUCUCCGAUUGAUAUUACCCUUCGAGGAAGUCACGGCUAACUCCGUGCCAGCAGCCGCGGUAAUACGGAGGAUGCGAGCGUUAUCCGGAUUUAUUGGGUUUAAAGGGUGCGUAGGCGGAAUAUCAAGUCAGCGGUAAAAAUUCGGGGCUCAACCCCGUCGUGCCGUUGAA